rnacentral:sRNA from 1 species
GUUCCGUAGGUGAACCUGCGGAAGGAUCAUUACUGAGUGAGGGCCCUCUGGGUCCAACCUCCCACCCUUGUUUAUUGUACCUUGUUGCUUCGGUGCGCCCGCCUCACGGCCGCCGGGGGGCUUCUGCCCCCGGGUCCGCGCGCACCGGAGACACCAUUGAACUCUGUCUGAAGAUUGCAGUCUGAGCAUAAACUAAAUAAGUUAAAACUUUCAACAACGGAUCUCUUGGUUCCGGCAUCGAUGAAGAACGCAGCGAAAUGCGAUAACUAGUGUGAAUUGCAGAAUUCAGUGAAUCAUCGAGUCUUUGAACGCACAUUGCGCCCCCUGGUAUUCCGGAGGGCAUGCCUGUCCGAGCGUCAUUGCUGCCCUCAAGCACGGCUUGUGUGUUGGGCUCCGUCCCCCCGGGGACGGGCCCGAAAGGCAGCGGCGGCACCGAGUCCGGUCCUCGAGCGUAUGGGGCUUUGUCACGCGCUCUGUAGGCCCGGCCGGCGCCAGCCGACAACCCAUCAUCCUUUUCAGGUUGACCUCGGAUCAGCUAGGGAUACCCGCUGAACUUAA